AUUGAACGCUGGCGGCAUGCCUUACACAUGCAAGUCGAACGGCAGCACGGGAGCAAUCCUGGUGGCGAGUGGCGAACGGGUGAGUAAUGUAUCGGAACGUACCUUUCAGUGGGGGAUAACGUAGCGAAAGUUACGCUAAUACCGCAUAUUCUGUGAGCAGGAAAGCAGGGGAUCGCAAGACCUUGCGCUGAUUGAGCGGCCGAUAUCAGAUUAGCUAGUUGGUGAGGUAAAGGCUCACCAAGGCGACGAUCUGUAGCGGGUCUGAGAGGAUGAUCCGCCACACUGGAACUGAGACACGGUCCAGACUCCUACGGGAGGCAGCAGUGGGGAAUUUUGGACAAUGGGGGCAACCCUGAUCCAGCCAUGCCGCGUGAGUGAAGAAGGCCUCGGUUG
rnacentral:rRNA from 1 species